GGUUAAGCGACUAAGCGUACACGGUGGAUGCCCUGGCAGUCAGAGGCGAUGAAGGACGUGCUAAUCUGCGAAAAGCGUCGGUAAGGUGAUAUGAACCGUUAUAACCGGCGAUGUCCGAAUGGGGAAACCCAGUGCAAUUCGUUGCACUAUCGUUAACUGAAUACAUAGGUUAACGAGGCGAACCGGGGGAACUGAAACAUCUAAGUACCCCGAGGAAAAGAAAUCAACCGAGAUUCCCCCAGUAGCGGCGAGCGAACGGGGAGCAGCCCAGAGUCUGAAUCAGCUUGUGUGUUAGUGGAACGGUCUGGAAAGUCCGACGGUACAGGGUGAUAGUCCCGUACACCAAAAUGCACAGGUUGUGAACUCGAAGAGUAGGGCGGGACACGUGGUAUCCUGUCUGAAUAUGGGGGGACCAUCCUCCAAGGCUAAAUACUCCUGACUGACCGAUAGUGAACCAGUACCGUGAGGGAAAGGCGAAAAGAACCCCGGCGAGGGGAGUGAAAAAGAACCUGAAACCGUGUACGUACAAGCAGUGGGAGCACCUUCGGGUGUGACUGCGUACCUUUUGUAUAAUGGGUCAGCGACUUAUAUUCUGUAGCAAGGUUAACCGUAUAGGGGAGCCGCAGGGAAACCGAGUCUUAACUGGGCGUUAAGUUGCAGGGUAUAGACCCGAAACCCGGUGAUCUAGCCAUGGGCAGGUUGAAGGUUGGGUAACACUAACUGGAGGACCGAACCGACUAAUGUUGAAAAAUUAGCGGAUGACUUGUGGCUGGGGGUGAAAGGCCAAUCAAACCGGGAGAUAGCUGGUUCUCCCCGAAAGCUAUUUAGGUAGCGCCUCGUGAACUCAUCUUCGGGGGUAGAGCACUGUUUCGGCUAGGGGGUCAUCCCGACUUACCAACCCGAUGCAAACUACGAAUACCGAAGAAUGUUAUCACGGGAGACACACGGCGGGUGCUAACGUCCGUCGUGAAGAGGGAAACAACCCAGACCGCCAGCUAAGGUCCCAAAGUCAUGGUUAAGUGGGAAACGAUGUGGGAAGGCACAGACAGCCAGGAUGUUGGCUUAGAAGCAGCCAUCAUUUAAAGAAAGCGUAAUAGCUCACUGGUCGAGUCGGCCUGCGCGGAAGAUGUAACGGGGCUAAACCAUGCACCGAAGCUGCGGCAGCGACACUAUGUGUUGUUGGGUAGGGGAGCGUUCUGUAAGCCUGCGAAGGUGACCUGUGAGGGUUGCUGGAGGUAUCAGAAGUGCGAAUGCUGACAUAAGUAACGAUAAAGCGGGUGAAAAGCCCGCUCGCCGGAAGACCAAGGGUUCCUGUCCAACGUUAAUCGGGGCAGGGUGAGUCGACCCCUAAGGCGAGGCCGAAAGGCGUAGUCGAUGGGAAACAGGUUAAUAUUCCUGUACUUGGUGUUACUGCGAAGGGGGGACGGAGAAGGCUAUGUUAGCCGGGCGACGGUUGUCCCGGUUUAAGCAUGUAGGCUGGUUGUCCAGGCAAAUCCGGAUAAUCAAGGCUGAGGUGUGAUGACGAGGCACUACGGUGCUGAAGUAACAAAUGCCCUGCUUCCAGGAAAAGCCUCUAAGCAUCAGGUAACAUUAAAUCGUACCCCAAACCGACACAGGUGGUCAGGUAGAGAAUACCAAGGCGCUUGAGAGAACUCGGGUGAAGGAACUAGGCAAAAUGGUGCCGUAACUUCGGGAGAAGGCACGCUGGUGUGUAGGUGAAGCCCCUGCGGGUGGAGCUGAGACCAGUCGAAGAUACCAGCUGGCUGCAACUGUUUAUUAAAAACACAGCACUGUGCAAACACGAAAGUGGACGUAUACGGUGUGACGCCUGCCCGGUGCCGGAAGGUUAAUUGAUGGGGUUAUCCGUAAGGAGAAGCUCUUGAUCGAAGCCCCGGUAAACGGCGGCCGUAACUAUAACGGUCCUAAGGUAGCGAAAUUCCUUGUCGGGUAAGUUCCGACCUGCACGAAUGGCGUAAUGAUGGCCAGGCUGUCUCCACCCGAGACUCAGUGAAAUUGAACUCGCUGUGAAGAUGCAGUGUACCCGCGGCAAGACGGAAAGACCCCGUGAACCUUUACUAUAGCUUGACACUGAACAUUGAGCCUUGAUGUGUAGGAUAGGUGGGAGGCUUUGAAGCGUGGACGCCAGUCUGCGUGGAGCCAACCUUGAAAUACCACCCUUUAAUGUUUGAUGUUCUAACGUUGGCCCCUUACCGGGGUUGCGGACAGUGUCUGGUGGGUAGUUUGACUGGGGCGGUCUCCUCCCAAAGCGUAACGGAGGAGCACGAAGGUUAGCUAAUCCUGGUCGGACAUCAGGAGGUUAGUGCAAUGGCAUAAGCUAGCUUGACUGCGAGCGUGACGGCGCGAGCAGGUGCGAAAGCAGGUCAUAGUGAUCCGGUGGUUCUGAAUGGAAGGGCCAUCGCUCAACGGAUAAAAGGUACUCCGGGGAUAACAGGCUGAUACCGCCCAAGAGUUCAUAUCGACGGCGGUGUUUGGCACCUCGAUGUCGGCUCAUCACAUCCUGGGGCUGAAGUAGGUCCCAAGGGUAUGGCUGUUCGCCAUUUAAAGUGGUACGCGAGCUGGGUUUAGAACGUCGUGAGACAGUUCGGUCCCUAUCUGCCGUGGGCGCUGGAGAAUUGAGGGGGGCUGCUCCUAGUACGAGAGGACCGGAGUGGACGCAUCACUGGUGUUCGGGUUGUCAUGCCAAUGGCACUGCCCGGUAGCUAAAUGCGGAAGAGAUAAGUGCUGAAAGCAUCUAAGCACGAAACUUGCCCCGAGAUGAGUUCUCCCUGAGACUUUAAGUCUCCUGAAGGAACGUUGAAGACGACGACGUUGAUAGGCCGGGUGUGUAAGCGCAGCGAUGCGUUGAGCUAACCGGUACUAAUGAACCGUGAGGCUUAACCUUAC
rnacentral:rRNA from 1 species